rnacentral:rRNA from 1 species
CCCCUAGAUGUUCUGGGCCGCACGCGCGCUACACUGAUGCAUUCAACAAGCCUAGCCUUGACCGAGAGGUCCGGGUAAUCUUUGAAACUGCAUCGUGAUGGGGCUAGAUUAUUGCAAUUAUUAAUCUUCAACGAGGAAUGCCUAGUAAGCGUGAUUCAUCAAAUCGCGUUGAUUACGUCCCUGCCCUUUGUACACACCGCCCGUCGCUCCUACCGAUUGAAUGUGUUGGUGAGGAGCUCGGAUUGGCAGCAGUUGGUGGUUCGCCACCGGCUAUUGCUGAGAAGUCCUCCAAACCGCCCCAUUUAGAGGAAGGAGAAGUCGUAACA